CAGCAGCCUGAGCCGGCGCUGGGACAGCACAAGUUUUGCGCUGUUCGCACCGCAGGGGAAGCCUCGUUGUACAAACUCCUCGCAGGGAAGGUUACAGCAAUCUCCUGGACUGUUGAUACCUGUGACUGGGUCCCUUCAGCAGCAUUUCUCCUGUUGUACUUGAUUUAUCUGUAAUAACUGUUGUGCCAUCCACAAUGUGGAGAUGACUCUGUUUAUCCCCUUAAAUAACUACAUAAGAGCAGCAGAGCAGAGCUUGUACUGUGCUAGACUCAACCUUUCACACAAGUGGACUGGGACAACAAAGGUAGAAGAUUUGAGAGAGAUGAGCUUGUGUUAGCCUGCCAUUUUGUGACUGAAGCUAUCUGAGAUGCCCAAGGUGACCUCCAGCAAAAACAGGACCGAUGUUCUUGCUGUUGGUUAUUAACAUCCUUCAGCAAGCCAUCACCUCAAGAUAAAGGUUUUGUGGAAGAAAUAAAUGAUAUAUGAAACUGAAUGAAAUUAAGUUUUACACCUCUCCAUUUGGGACCCUGAUGAGUGACAGGUAGAAGAUGAAUUUCACAGAGAAUGCAACUGAGAAGUGCACUGUUGAUCACAAUAUCCACCAGACUUUAUCCCCUGUGGUAUACAUAUUUGUGUUUGUAUUAGGUUUCCCUGCAAAUUGCCUCUCACUGUACUACGGAUAUCUGCAGAUCAAGGCUAAAAAUGAAUUGGGUAUCUAUCUUUGCAACUUGACUGUAGCAGACCUGUUGUACAUUUUUUCUUUGCCUUUCUGGCUCCAGUAUGUUUUACAGCAUGACAACUGGACCUACGAUGUACUGCUGUGCAAAAUCUGUGGCACUCUUUUGUAUGAGAAUAUUUAUAUCAGUGUGGGCUUCCUCUGCUGCAUCUCCAUAGAUCGCUAUCUAGCAGUAGUGCACCCUUUUCGCUUUCACCAGUUUCGGACACUGAAGGCUGCUGCAAUUGUGAGUGCUGUUAUCUGGGCCAAAGAAAUCGUGACGUGCUGGUUUGUCUUUACACAUGGGGAGAUCAGUAUGGAUGCUGACAGCCAUGUGGUGUGCUUUGAGCAUUACCCCAUAAAAGACUGGGAGCAUAAUGUCAAUUACUACCGCUUCUCCGCUGGCUUCCUUUUCCCCUUCUUUCUGCUGGCCUUUUCUUACUGUGGAAUUUUACGAGUUGUCCACAAGAGUCAUGGCACUCAAAAGAAGAAGAAAAUUCAAAUUAAGAGACUGGUUUCAAGCACUGUUUUCAUUUUUUUAGUUUGCUUUGGACCAUACCACAUCCUACUUGUAGUUCGCAGCUUGUUUGAGAAUGACUGCUCAUUUGCUCAGAAAAUAUUUAAUAUUUACCAUGUUUCGCUCCUGUUGACUACCUUUAACUGUGUUGCUGAUCCAGUGUUGUACUGUUUUUCCAGUGAAAGCACUUACCAGAACUUUGCCAAGAUGCGAGACUCUUGUUUAACAUCUUUAGGAUGUCUUAGGACUGAGACUAAGGAAACCUACCAGCUGAAUGCUCCAGAAACCCUCAACAAGCCACAGGAUGAGCAACAGCCAGCAUUAUUACAAAGAUCAGAUGAUAUCACUGGAAUAAAAGACUCCUCUACAACUAACUUAGGCAGUCUAGAGUAGUCAUCAGAAAAGAAUACUCAUCCAAAAUCUCGACAUAUGACUGUGUUGUGUAUGCAUCUGAUUUAUCCAUGUAUUACAACUAUUUUACCUCUCAAAGACUUAUUAGCUAUGCAAUAUAGUGAGGUAGUUUCUAGAGGUACUUGGACCUUGACCACAGUGAGGAAAGUAUAAACUAAGAGUUCAGUUACAAUCACAUGUCUACUGCCAUUAUGGUGCAACUCAGAAACUGUUGUCUUGUCACUCAACUGUUGUUGAUGACUGCAUUGGCUGAAAUAAGCUAGUACUCAUGGUGUGGAUCUGCUGAAACUGUCAUUAACUGCUGUCUGUUUGUGCCUGUAGCAUCUAGAGAAAAAGAAUUCUCAAAAAGCUGUCAUUUCUUUUGAAAAAGUUGGAGACCGAACAAAUAAAAUGUCCCCAUAAGUAGUUUUAAAAGAAAACAAAAAAUCUUAUGUGCAUCUUUUCUGUAAGUCUGUAAAAUAAUUCUUCCUCAAGCCCAUUUCAAGUUCUGCACAGACCUUGUCAGAACCUGCCUCCUAAAACAACCAAUCAAAUAAUGUGAGAUGUUCUGGAAGAGCAUGCACAAGAAACUCACCACCUGCUGAGACCUUCAAUCCAUUAAUUGACAACUGAUCUCACAUUGCUGAACCUCAUCAUCAGGCUCCUAUUGACUUUAAAAGGUAUCAGAUUAUCAACAGGCUCUGAUGGGAAAAAUAAUUCAGUCUGUGGACUUCGAAAAGAACAGGAGGUAUUCAUUUUUGUGAAAUUUGCCAGAAUCUCAAAAGGUUGAAACCUCUCCCCUUCUAUCAAAUUUUGAACCUGCUGUUCAAUUUCAACCAAGCUGUUUGUAGGGGACACUGCCAACAAGACAGAAGAUCAACAGGAAUAAAGUUUCCAAAACCAAGCAGAACAACUAAAUAAAAAGGACUAACAUAGAUUGAACUGUGGCCCAAACUCUCAUCUAUAUGUGGAUGCACUGUGACUAGAAGCACUAAAGGGAAAAAUUGUGAGAGACCAGUGAUGAAGUGCAGGUGCGUAGCACAACCUGCAACUACGACAAUAACAUCCUUGAAUCUGUAAUCGAAUACAAACGAACGUUGCUGCUAUUGUGAG